rnacentral:rRNA from 1 species
GACGAACGCUGGCGGCGUGCUUAACACAUGCAAGUCGAACGGAAAGGCCCUGCUUUUGUGGGGUGCUCGAGUGGCGAACGGGUGAGUAACACGUGAGUAACCUGCCCUUGACUUUGGGAUAGCUUCAGGAAACUGGGGCUAAUACCGGAUAGGAGCUCCUGCUGCAUGGUGGGGGUUGGAAAGUUUCUGCGGUUGGGGAUGGACUCGCGGCUGAUCAGCUUGUUGGUGGGGUAGUGGCUUACCAAGGCUUUGACGGGUAGGCGGCCUGAGAGGGUGACCGGCCACAUGGGGACUGAGAUACGGACCAGGCUCCUACGGGAGGCAGCAGUGGGGAAUAUUGCACAAUGGGCGGAAGCCUGAUGCAGCAACGCCGCGUGCGGGAUGACGGCCUUCGGGUUGUAAACCGCUUUCGCCUGUGACGAAGCGUGAGUGACGGUAAUGGGUAAAGAAGCACCGGCUAACUACGUG